rnacentral:rRNA from 1 species
UGGGGAAUAUUGGACAAUGGGCGCAAGCCUGAUCCAGCCAUGCCGCGUGUGUGAAGAAGGCCUUUUGGUUGUAAAGCACUUUAAGCGAGGAGGAGGCUACUUGGAUUAAUACUCUAGGAUAGUGGACGUUACUCGCAGAAUAAGCACCGGCUAACUCUGUGCCAGCAGCCGCGGUAAUACAGAGGGUGCGAGCGUUAAUCGGAUUUACUGGGCGUAAAGCGUGCGUAGGCGGCUUCUUAAGUCGGAUGUGAAAUCCCUGAGCUUAACUUAGGAAUUGCAUUCGAUACUGGGAAGCUAGAAUAUGGGAGAGGAUGGUAGAAUUCCAGGUGUAGCGGUGAAAUGCGUAGAGAUCUGGAGGAAUACCGAUGGCGAAGGCAGCCAUCUGGCCUAAUACUGACGCUGAGGUACGAAAGCAUGGGGAGCAAACAGG